GAGCGGGCGUAGCAAUACGUCAGCGGCAGACGGGUGAGUAACGCGUGGGAACGUACCUUUUGGUUCGGAACAACCCAGGGAAACUUGGGCUAAUACCGGAUAAGCCCUUACGGGGAAAGAUUUAUCGCCGAAAGAUCGGCCCGCGUCUGAUUAGCUAGUUGGUGAGGUAAAGGCUCACCAAGGCGACGAUCAGUAGCUGGUCUGAGAGGAUGAUCAGCCACAUUGGGACUGAGACACGGCCCAAACUCCUACGGGAGGCAGCAGUGGGGAAUAUUGGACAAUGGGCGCAAGCCUGAUCCAGCCAUGCCGCGUGAGUGAUGAAGGCCCUAGGGUUGUAAAGCUCUUUUGUGCGGGAAGAUAAUGACGGUACCGCAAGAAUAAGCCCCGGCUAACUUCGUG
rnacentral:rRNA from 1 species